rnacentral:lncRNA from 1 species
CACCACGGCCCCCUCCGGCUAGCGAGGUGGUACUAAAGCCGGGCGCUAACGGCUAGGCUCCUGACAUCCCAUCCCCCUUUUCGGGCGGUAUGGCGACUGUCUGCCUCUGAUACCAAUUGUCAGCGACCUUCCCGGCCUAGCCCACUCAACGCUACACCUUUGGGCGUUUCCCGGCGCUCGUGGGCUAACACAAGCGAGCCCCUUCACUCGCUCUCAAAACCCGGGCUGUGAGAGGAGGGGAAAUCUCGCUUAUAAGCUCACCACGGCCCCCUCCGGCUAGCGAGGUGGUACUAAAGUCGGGCGCUAACGGCUAGGCUCCUGACAUCCCAUCCCCCUUUUCGGGCGGUAUGGCGACUGUCUGCCUCUGAUACCAAUUGUCAGCGACCUUCCCGGCCUAGCCCACUCAACGCUACACCUUUGGGUGUUUCCCGGCGCUCGUGGGCUAACACAAGCGAGCCCCUUCACUCGCUCUCAAAACCCGGGCUGUGAGAGGAGGGGAAAUCUCGCUUAUAAGCUCACCAUGGCCCCCUCCGGCUAGCGAGGUGGUACUAAAGCCGGGCGCUAACGGCUAGGCUCCUGACAUCCCAUCCCCCUUUUCGGGCGGUAUGGCGACUGUCUGCCUCUGAUACCAAUUGUCAACGACCUUCCCGGCCUAGCCCACUCAACGCUACACCUUUGGGCGUUUCCCGGCGCUCGUGGGCUAACACAAGCGAGCCCCUUCACUCGCUCUCAAAACCCGGGCUGUGAGAGGAGGGGAAAUCUCGCUUAUAAGCUCACCACGGCC